rnacentral:rRNA from 1 species
AUUGAACGCUGGCGGCAGGCCUAACACAUGCAAGUCGAGCGGAUGAAGGGAGCUUGCUCCUGGAUUCAGCGGCGGACGGGUGAGUAAUGCCUAGGAAUCUGCCUGGUAGUGGGGGAUAACGUCCGGAAACGGGCGCUAAUACCGCAUACGUCCUGAGGGAGAAAGUGGGGGAUCUUCGGACCUCACGCUAUCAGAUGAGCCUAGGUCGGAUUAGCUAGUUGGUGGGGUAAAGGCCUACCAAGGCGACGAUCCGUAACUGGUCUGAGAGGAUGAUCAGUCACACUGGAACUGAGACACGUUCCAGACUCCUACGGGAGGCAGCAGUGGGGAAUAUUGGACAAUGGGCGAAAGCCUGAUCCAGCCAUGCCGCGUGUGUGAAGAAGGUCUUCGGAUUGUAAAGCACUUUAAGUUGGGAGGAAGGGCAAUAAGUUAAUACCUUGCUGUUUUGACGUUACCAACAGAAUAAGCACCGGCUAACUUCGUG